GAUGAACGCUAGCGGCAGGCUUAACACAUGCAAGUCGAGGGGUAACAGGGUGCUUGCACCGCUGACGACCGGCGCACGGGUGCGUAACGCGUAUAGAACCUACCUUUUACAGGAGAAUACCCCAGAGAAAUUUGGAAUAAUGCUCCAUAGUAUUAUUGAAUGGCAUCAUUUGAUAAUUAAACAUUUAUGGGUAAAAGAUGGCUAUGCGUUCUAUUAGCUAGAUGGUAAGGUAACGGCUUACCAUGGCAACGAUAGAUAGGGGUCCUGAGAGGGAGAUCCCCCACACUGGUACUGAGACACGGACCAGACUCCUACGGGAGGCAGCAGUGAGGAAUAUUGGACAAUGGAGGCAACCCUGAUCCAGCCAUGCCGCGUGCAGGAAGACGGUCCUAUGGAUUGUAAACUGCUUUUAUACAGGAAGAAACACUCCCUCGUGAGGGAGCUUGACGGUACUGUAUGAAUAAGCACCGGCUAACUCCGUGCCAGCAGCCGCGGUAAUACGGAGGGUGCAAGCGUUAUCCGGAAUCAUUGGGUUUAAAGGGUCCGUAGGCGGACUAAUAAGUCAGGGGUGAAAUCCAACAGCUUAACUGUUGAAUUGCCUUUGAUACUGUUAGUCUUGAGUUAUAUGGAAGUAGAUAGAAUGUGUAGUGUAGCGGUGAAAUGCUUAGAGAUUACACAGAAUACCGAUUGCGAAGGCAGUCUACUACGUAUAUA
rnacentral:rRNA from 1 species